UCGAGCGGUAGCACAGAGAGCUUGCUCUCGGGUGACGAGCGGCGGACGGGUGAGUAAUGUCUGGGAAACUGCCUGAUGGAGGGGGAUAACUACUGGAAACGGUAGCUAAUACCGCAUAAUGUCGCAAGACCAAAGUGGGGGACCUUCGGGCCUCAUGCCAUCAGAUGUGCCCAGAUGGGAUUAGCUAGUAGGUGGGGUAACGGCUCACCUAGGCGACGAUCCCUAGCUGGUCUGAGAGGAUGACCAGCCACACUGGAACUGAGACACGGUCCAGACUCCUACGGGAGGCAGCAGUGGGGAAUAUUGCACAAUGGGCGCAAGCCUGAUGCAGCCAUGCCGCGUGUGUGAAGAAGGCCUUCGGGUUGUAAAGCACUUUCAGCGGGGAGGAAGGCGUUAAGGUUAAUAACCUUGGCGAUUGACGUUACCCGCAGAAGAAGCACCGGCUAACUCCGUGCCAGCAGCCGCGGUAAUACGGAGGGUGCAAGCGUUAAUCGGAAUUACUGGGCGUAAAGCGCACGCAGGCGGUCUGUCAAGUCGGAUGUGAAAUCCCCGGGCUCAACCUGGGAACUGCAUUCGAAACUGGCAGGCUAGAGUCUUGUAGAGGGGGGUAGAAUUCCAGGUGUAGCGGUGAAAUGCGUAGAGAUCUGGAGGAAUACCGGUGGCGAAGGCGGCCCCCUGGACAAAGACUGACGCUCAGGUGCGAAAGCGUGGGGAGCAAACAGGAUUAGAUACCCUGGUAGUCCACGCCGUAAACGAUGUCGAUUUGGAGGUUGUGCCCUUGAGGCGUGGCUUCCGGAGCUAACGCGUUAAAUCGACCGCCUGGGGAGUACGGCCGCAAGGUUAAAACUCAAAUGAAUUGACGGGGGCCCGCACAAGCGGUGGAGCAUGUGGUUUAAUUCGAUGCAACGCGAAGAACCUUACCUGGUCUUGACAUCCACAGAACUUUCCAGAGAUGGAUUGGUGCCUUCGGGAACUGUGAGACAGGUGCUGCAUGGCUGUCGUCAGCUCGUGUUGUGAAAUGUUGGGUUAAGUCCCGCAACGAGCGCAACCCUUAUCCUUUGUUGCCAGCGGUUCGGCCGGGAACUCAAAGGAGACUGCCAGUGAUAAACUGGAGGAAGGUGGGGAUGACGUCAAGUCAUCAUGGCCCUUACGACCAGGGCUACACACGUGCUACAAUGGCAUAUACAAAGAGAAGCGACCUCGCGAGAGCAAGCGGACCUCAUAAAGUAUGUCGUAGUCCGGAUUGGAGUCUGCAACUCGACUCCAUGAAGUCGGAAUCGCUAGUAAUCGUAGAUCAGAAUGCUACGGUGAAUACGUUCCCGGGCCUUGUACACACCGCCCGUCACACCAUGGGAGUGGGUUGCAAAAGAAGUAGGUAGCUUAACCUUCGGGAGGGCGC
rnacentral:rRNA from 1 species